rnacentral:lncRNA from 13 species
UAUGUCUGUGCAAUUCACCAUUUAUAUUUCUGAUAUCUUUUUGCCGAUGUGAAGUCUUAGGGGUUUUGAGAAGACCUGUGGUCUCCUCCAAGGAGGUGAGAAUCUGAGAGGAGCAAUCGGCACUGAGAGAGAGACAAGGAGAGCUGGGAGCUGCAGCAAGAACAAAGUGAAAUAAUCAAGUUGCAGUGAGUGGAAUUCAUCCUUGUUCCUGGACUUACAAUAGAGCUCUGCUGCCUGGGUGACUGCACAAGGGAUUUGGAGAUCAAUCAGGAUCCAAACCAAGCUUCAGCAUCUCAGUUCCUUUCUGCAUUCCGAAAGGAGGAUGGGUAGAAGCAGAAAUAGGAAACAGCAGAAAUCAGACAACACCAUCUGACAAGAACUUUUGUAGAUGUAAACAUCAGAUCUGUGAACAUGAACUCUGUGUCCUCGUAUCUCCAGUGGAAGGUGUUGUGGAAAAUGAGAGCUGAUGAAACGAUGUCAGCCCUGAAUUGGAGGACAGGAUUUCUUCUGCAUAAUGCUCCAUGUGCAACAGGAGGCAGCAACCGUAAGUAUGUAUGGUGA